AUCAUUGGUACUUUAUAUAUUUUUGUUCAGUGUGCAAUUCAAAGAAUGAAGAAAAGAAUCAAAAAUAAAUACUAUGAUAAAAACAUGAGUCUUCCUACGUUAAUUGACAGUGCAGGUGGUGGUCAGGACAUUACCAGCUUACAGGAGUCUAAUAAAUACAACAUGCAAGUAAAUGGCAAUUUGUAAGUAUGAUGGCUUAUAUUGAAUGUCAACUUGACUGAAGGAUACAAAGUAUUGUUCCUGGGUGUGUCCGUGAGGGUGUUGAUGAAGGAGAUUAACAUGUGAGUCAUAGACUGGGAGAGACAGACUUACCCUCAAUCUGGGUGGGCAGCAUCUAAUCAGCUGCCAGCGUGAAUAGAAUAGAGCAGCAGAAGAUGGAAGAGCAGGUUUGCUGAGUCUUCCAGCCUUCAUCUUUCUCUCAUGCCAGAUGCUUCCUGCCCUCAAACAUCAGAUUCCAGGUUCUUCAGCAUUUGGACUCUUGGAUUUACAGCAGUGGUUUGCUGGGGGCUCUUGGGCCUUUGGCCACAGACUGAAAGUGCACAGUCAGCUUCCUGACUUGAGAUUUUGGGGCUCUGACUUUCUUGCUCCACUGGCUUUCUUGCUCCUCAGCUUGCAGAUGACCUAUCAUGGGACUUCACCUUGUGAACAUCUCACUGGAUGUUUCCAAGUGCAAUCACAAAACUUAAUGGAGAUCAGAGGGCCCCUUUACUUGGAAGAAGAAUUUGAACCCCCUUGGUUUGGAAGCUUCACCAUCUGUCUUUGAAGCUCUUCCCAUCAAGAGAUGCUGUCUAUCAAAUAUGAGCUGGUCUUGUGACUAAGUUUAGCAAUCAGAGGUGACUGUGUACUAUUUCCAAACUUGGGACUCAAAAUCCUUGAAUGCUUUUUUUUUUUGACUCUGGCUUUGCCAUGAGAACAUGCCUAGGUUAGAACUUUGGAAGAUGAAGCACAUGGAUGAGAGUAGCCAACCAUCAGUUAUGGCCACAGGUUUGAAAGAGCCCAUCAAGAUCAAUCAAGCCCCCUCCAAUCUGACCCACAGUGCAUUGCAGACUUAGUGAGCACAAGUAAAACCAAAGAGCCAUCUAUCCCAUUUAAAGCCUUGUGAGCAAUAAUAUAUCACUAUGGUUUUAAACCAUUGAGUGUGGGAUGGUUUAUUGAAAUUUUUGUUCAUGAUAAUAAAAAGUAAGAGCGAUUGAUACUUAAUAUAAGGUGCUAACACAUAACUUGUCUUUUUAGUUCAAGAAAAACUUGAGGUUGGGUGCGGUGGCUCAAGCCUGUGAUCCCAGCACUUUGGGAGGCUGAGGCGGGUGGAUCACGAGGUCAACAGAUCGAGACCAUCCUGGUCAACAUGGUGAAACCCCGUCUCUACUAAAAAUACAAAAAAUUAGCUGGGCAUGGUGGCGUGUGCCUGUAAUCCCAGAUACUCAGGAGGCUGAGGCAGGAGAAUUGCCUGAACCCAGGAAGCAGAGGUUGCGGUGAGCUGAGAUCGCGCCAUUGCACUCCAGCCUGGGUAACAAGAGCAAAACUCCAUCUCAAAAAGAAAAAAAAAAAGAAAAACUUGAAAUAUGUGGCAUGGGUUUGCAACUGGUUACAAGUGGGGUUUGGAAAAUGUUGCAAACUGUUAACAAACUUGAAGCCAGAUAAAGAAAGUGUAAUGGAAGCUUGGCAAAAUGAUUAUGUGUGUAAUGCCAUUACAAAAUAAUUGACAAAACUGCUGCCUGCAGUAACUUGGAAGAUGGAAAAUAUAUAUAAUGAAUUUUGGAUUUGCCUAAGGAGGUCUCUAGGCAGAGUGUUGAAAGUGUCAACUGGAUUUUCUUAAUUGCGUGUAGGACAGCAAGAAAGUGAUGAACUAAAGAAAAAAGUUGGUCACUUUCCAAGCAAGACUUAAAGGGUAGAUGAGAGGGCCAGACCUAUGGGCUACAAAAUAAAACAGUUUCUCAUCUCUAGUUUCUCUAGUCAGGAAAAUCUUAUUAAAGUAAAGUACUAGAUGCUCCUCAACUUAUAAUAGAGUUACAGCCCCUUAAGCCCACUCUGAGUUGAAAAUAUCUUGAGAUAAAAAUUCACUGAAUACAUCUAACCUAUUGAACAUAAUAGCUUAGUCUUGCCUACCUUAAAUGCAUCCAAACACUUUCAUUAGCCUACAGUUGAGCAAACUAACACAAAGCCUAUUUUAUAAUAAAGUGUUAUAGUGUCUCAGGUAAUUUUUUGAAUACUGUACUGAAAGUGAAAAACAGAAUGGUUGUAUGGGUACUUGAAGUAUUGUUUCUACUCAAUGAAAUCAUUGUUGACUUCAUGGUUGAACCAUCCUAAGUCAACUUAUAGGUUGUACUGUCUGUGUAACCUGGGACAUAGAUUAAAUGAACAUUGCUUACGAUCCCUUGGUAAACCCCAUGGAAAAAUUAAGGAAGUGCUUAGCUGGCCCUCACAAGUGGACAAAAAGACUGCCAGGAACAAAGAGUGUCUCUCACAGAUAUUUAAUAUACUCCAAAUGAGUGUGAUUAAAAAAAAUUUAUUGAGAAGAGUUGAGGAUAAAUAAAUUUAAAUUAGUUGAAAGCCUACAACACUUUUAAUGGGUUGUGUAGGCAAAAGUGCCAUCAUUCUGGACUCAUAGGUAUUGAGUUUUUUCAAAAUGCAAUAGGCUUUUGGAUCCCUAUCCUUCUGUGAACAGAAAGUUGGAUUAAAAAAAAUAGCUUUUCCUUAGCCUUUUAAAAUGGAGGAGGAGAAAGUUGGAAAAGAAAGAAGUUCUGAGACAGUGAAACUAUGGAAAAUAAUGGACUGUGGAACCAGAUGAAGGGAGCAGAAUGGAGGUCAGAUCUGGAACUGGUCUAUUCACCAAAAUGUCAGGAUACAUAGAAACAUUUGCCAAGUUGGAUUUCAGAAUUUUUUUUAACAUCGAGUUUCAUGUAUCUCCCAUCUUGGACUUUUUAAAUGAAGGUACCAUUUAAAACAACUCUCCUGUCUUUGUCUCACCAUUGUAUGCUUGGC
rnacentral:lncRNA from 1 species